rnacentral:tRNA from 1 species
GGGGAUUUAGCUCAGUGGUAGAGCGCUUGCCUAGCAAGCGCAAGGCCCUGGGUUAGGCUCCCAGCUCCA